CGUGUAGGCGGUCUUUUAAGUCUGAUGUGAAAGCCCCGGGCUCAACCUGGGAAGUGCAUUGGAAACUGGGAGACUUGAGUACGGGAGAGGAGAGUGGAAUUCCUAGUGUAGGAGUGAAAUCCGUAGAUAUUAGGAGGAACACCGGUGGCGAAGGCGGCUCUCUGGACCGAUACUGACGCUGAGGUGCGAAAGCGUGGGGAGCAAACA
rnacentral:rRNA from 1 species